UGAUUAUUUGGGAUACACAUCAAUUAUUUGGGGUACACAUCAAUAAUUAAUCCGUUAUUUUCUCUGAAUCCCCCUAUCUCGAUCCAUAAAUCAUUUAUAAUUUGGCAUUUCAUUUGUGCCUCUUUCUCUUCUCGAUACUCUAUACACAAAGAUCCUUUGAAAUCUAGGUGAUUCAAACCCGAGCGGAGACCAUACAGAGCAUCCUUAGAUUAGAGAAGAUGGAGAAGCAUUAGACAAGUCAACCGACAAUCGACGGUGCAACCCUUUAAGAAAAAACAAAUUCUUCCCCCAUCUGGUGGUCGAUUUCAACACAGGUUUUUUGGAUUGUUUACCUAAUUUGCGAUCUCAAUUUGAUAUCCUUUGGAAUGUGCUGUUGGUGGUGAAGCACGGCGGCAAGAGGGCUUCCAAUAACGCAACAAUCAUCCAUCGUGAAAACAGUGAUCGGUAUUGCCAUUACUUGGAGGAUGGUUUCGAUUGGAGGGCGUUUAUGUCUGGUAUUGCUACAUACCCUGACUUCAUGGUUCUUUGGUGGAAUGUGGAUACGGUCCUAAUGCCGAUUCAUUCAUUUCCUAAUCAAUGGUUAUUUGGGGAACUACGAUUGGAUUCAAUGGAAGUCCAUAUUUAUGAUAGUCUUGGUAGGAGUACUUACCAAAAAUUCGAGUCUGGUGGAUUAUUUAGACAAGAUAAACUACUAGGCACACAGGAACAUCCCAAGGAUUCCAUUGGAUAUGGAAUUCAUUUUUGAAACAUAUGUUCCCUAAUAAAGUAGUGAGCUGGGAGAUUGCGGUGUUUUCAUUUGUAUGUUUAUGGAACAAAUAGUUUCAGGCCAACCAAUACGUGAACUUAUUGAUCUAAAAACUGCAGCUUUAGAGUUUAGUCAAAGGAUGACAAAAAUUUAUUGGGGGUCG